AAAGGCCAAGCCGUUCCAAGCCAUCCGUUGCACAGGACAUGACUGGAGGCAACGCAGGUGCCGAGAAGUCGGUGAAGCCGGCCGUAGCUGCAAAGCGAGGGCGUGC
rnacentral:lncRNA from 1 species